rnacentral:rRNA from 1 species
GACGAAGGAUGCAAGCGUUAUCCGGAUUCAUUGGGUUUAAAGGGAGCGUAGGUGGCCUUUUAAGUCAGUGGUGAAAUCUCGCAGCUUAACUGUGAAAUUGCCAUUGAUACUGUAGUGCUUGAGUACAGAUGCCGUUGGCGGAAUAUGACAUGUAGUGGUGAAAUACAUAGAGAUGUCAUAGAACACCGAUUGCGAAGGCAGCUGACGAAGCUGUAACUGACACUGAGGCUCGAAAGUGCGGGGAUCAAACAGG